rnacentral:tRNA from 5 species
GCUCGAGUGGCGGAAUUGGUAGACGCGUUGGAUUCAAAAUCCAAUGUCGCAAGACGUGCGGGUUCGAUUCCCGCCUCGAGUA